ensembl:lncRNA
GUCCAAUUGUUUUCGCACCACAAUGGAAGCCGAAAACCAGCUGUGCAAGCAGCUCCUGCUGCCACAGAAGUGUCCGUGGCACAGGGAGGCAGGUGGCACCAUUCAAGUUAAAGCAGCGCAGGCAAGUUUAUAACAUCAGGAAGAGAAACUGCUGCCUGAUCUCUGAGCUACCCAAGUCUUGUGCUCAGGAAGCUGAAAGGAACUACAAAAAUCCCUGCAAAGUGGUCCCUGCUGGCAAAAAGAACCCUCAAGACAAAACCCAAGGUUUAUUACGGAGUAUGAAAAUCAGGAAGCUUUUUGUUCACUUCAUACAUCUCUUCCGACAAAGCCAGGCAUCAGAACCCGGCACAGACUCCAGAGUGAUUAUUGUUACACAUGAUCUAUGGAGCAGAUAAAUUACAGCUUGAUUUUUAUAAGGUUUCUCAGAGCUGGAGAAGGGCAGAUGGGGACAUGGGCUCCUGCAGCAGGGGCUGUUCUUGCAUCACCCACUGGCCGAGCCUCAGAAGUGACCUAACAUAAGUGGAGUGGAAAGCAAGGUGGAAGGUUUUUUGCACACGAUAUAGCAGUAGUAAUGAAUAAUGAAGGAAUUUUUACCUUCUUUGCCAUUUUAGCUUGCUUUUCUUGCUAGUUAUUGCCUUCCAGUCCAAAUGAGCAUCUCAAGGUUGACAAGGUAAUUUGUGUGUAUUUUGGAGCUCAUGACGUGGUAGGUCAGGAAUUAAAGCAGUGCUGGAAGUAGGGAUCACAUCAGAUCCAGUCAUCUGCAGCAGAGGAGGAGAAGCUCAAGCAAGAGCCAUGAUCCUCUACCCUUUUAUCAAAUCUAAGGACUCUUUCUCCCAUCCUCUUCUAAAAAUUCCUAUUUAUCUCAUUCAAAUACAUCUGCUCCUAAUAGAUGAGAGGGCUUAAGUUAUGAAUGCAAGGACAUAAAGACUUCUAAUGAGAAUUAUACACCUUUCUGUCCAUCUCAGCAGCUGACCUGUGCAGUUACCCACUUAUUUUCAAACACUCCGGUGCAAAUGCUCUUGACACAAAAUACUGCAUCAGUGUUGAAUAAGGGCUUAUCCUAUCAACUGCACUGUGUGCUAUGUGCAUAUGUAACCCCAGCCAGGAUCUCACGGUCAGACAAUCCCAAAUUGAUGGCAGCUCUAUAAAAUGUUUUCUCUUGUAGCUGUUCUUUGGGAUGCCCAGUUGACAGCUCACGUAUCAGCACUCGCUCAAGUCACAGUUUAACUCCCAGAAAAUCUUCAGGAGCAACAAAAACAUUGCUGAAAGUAUCCUAUGCAAUAUGAAAACAUUUUUAUCUUUAUCAUAUGGUGGAAGAUUAAAGUCAGUCUACAUGAAAGCAGAGUGUGUAACUGGAUACAAGAUUCCCAGAUAGGUGGCACGUGUCAACAGGCAUUACAUGGUGUCUUUAGGUGAGCCUUUGAUACAGCCUGUUAAAUAGUUCAGUGAGAUAGAUGCAACCAUGAGAGGGUUUCAAGACCUUGAUUUGCUUUCCAGCUCAAAUAAAUCCGAAUAGAACAGACUUAAAUUACCUGUGAUUUUUCUGUCUUUAGGAGGACACAUAAAAGCUCAUGAGAUUGCUUUACUCCCUGGGGGGAAAAAAAAAUAAGGGGAAAAAAAU